ACAAAUCCAAAUGUUAUGUGUUUAUGUUUUUGCAAUACAACUAAAGAAAGUGGAGAGGAGAGGAGAGGGUGAUCCACUGUUCUUUGAUUUCCAGUCACAGAUACGUAAGUCUCCCUGUUACCAGGGAGACGGGUCUCCAGAAAUGUUUAGUUCUUUCAUCUGCAGUAGCAUCCCAGGAUUUACAAGAAGGUUAACGUACACAGAUCUCUAGGCUGACUGGAAAGCAAAGACAGAAGCAAUAAAUAAACAAAUAAAUAAAUAAUACUAAAUAUGUAACACCAUCUGUGAACUUGAAAACAAGGAAAGGAAAAGCGAAACAUUUCAACAACUGGAUGGGCUUGCUUGUUUUUCGUUCUUCAUACUUUUUGCUUUUUUUUUUUUAAAGGCAAAGCAAUGUUUUGUUUUGUUUUUAAUCCCUUUUUUAUAUUGCAUCUGUGAAUUACAUUGAUAGCUAUCUCCUUCGAUCAUUUGAACAGUGGAUCGAUAAAGGAAUCCAUUACGAAAAUAAAAACAUUUUAAAAAACAGUGUCAAUAUCAUAUAAGCAACGUUGCUUUUUUUUUUUUUUUUAAUUGGAUCGUGUGUUCCAAGAUGUAAAUCUUAGCAUCCCGUGGGAUUAGUGCUGCAUUUCUAACGAGAUUAUGGAUUACCAGUGGAUUAGCCAUCCCAGAAUAAUUGUGUAAAUAAAUACAGACAAUACAGUAACAAUAAUUGCCAAAGCCGGAGAGAAGCAUAACUACAACCCCACAGAAGAAGUAAAGGAUACAUCUCCAGCACCCUGCGAUCCUUCAAGACCAUGGCUGUGAGUGCAAUGUGAGAGAAUGGGAAGUGUCAAGGAAUCCAGUAUUAGCUCUCCGAUACAGAUCUGCCCUGGACUGGUGAUGGAGGGCUCCAUUGCGGCUGAGCCUGGAAGCAACACCCCCUCCCACGGUCAACAAGAGGGGGUGAGCUGUGAAGCUCCCUUAAGAUGUGGUCCCCCUCAAUCCGACGUCUGUUUCACAAGCAACCACCAAGAUGCCAAGAGCUGCUGCCAGCCAGAAACGACUGCGAAGAGGCCCAUCUGCAAUGCUCGCCAAAGUCCAGAAGAAACUUCUAAUGUGAGCAAGGAGCACUCUAUUCAAUCAAAGUGUUUUUUGAAGACUGCCAGAAGGACCUAAGCCAAGCCAUGAGAGAAAAAUCCAGCAACUCAGUAUUGGAGUUCAAGCUGACUGCCCUGAAAGAUCAUAGUGUUAUUGUGCUUUGCUUUGGAGCAGAGCAUAAAAAGUAACUGUUUAUUAUGAACAGCAAAGGUACAUCUACAUUUACUGAAGACAGAUGCAAAAAAUGUGUUGCUUUGUUUUUUCCUACAUCUGUGCAUUUUAGUAAAACAAAACAGUGAUGUGUCAUCAACAUAAGCUAGUAUAUUAAAUAUGAAAAAAUGUGCAUGUUUAUUACAUAAAUACACACAUAAUUGACUCUGAUAUUUGCAGCUGUUGACAUGUUUUUUUGGGAGCAUUUCCCCAUUGGUAUAUUCCUUUGAAACUGUAAUAUAAAGUUCAAAUUUGACACAAAACAGUAAAAGACAACCUGGUAAAAUGUGUGUUUUAUUAAAUA